GGCGCGCGACCGGAAGCGGAAGUGAGUGCGCUGGUGAUCAUGGUGCCGCCGGGGCGGGGAAGGAGGUGCCGCCGCUGCCCGCAGCCCGAUGAGUCGCUCCGGUAUAAGUGCACGGUAUCGCACUGAGAGGCGGUGAGCCAUGGGGGAGAACAGUCCCGAAGGCAACGUUAUCUACUACGAAGUGGAGGAAGACGAUUUAACCCAAGAUGACAAUAUGAUGAGGUUUGCUGAUAAAAAUGGGCUGGUUUCUUCAUCGUCUGGGACGGUCUAUGACAGGACGACUGUUCUGAUAGAGCAGGACCACAACGUGCUGGAAGAUGAUGAGGAUGAAGGACAGUGCGGUGAUCACUUGCCUUUCUUACCGGAGGGUCAUGAAGAAGGAUUUCAUUUAAUAGCAGAUCAUGAAGGAAUGUCCCAGGGUUAUGUGCAACAUAUUAUUUCUCCAGAUCAGAUUCACCUGACAAUAAAUCCUGGUUCAACUCCUAUGCCAAGAAAUAUCGAAGGAGCAACGCUCACUUUGCAGUCUGAAUGCCCUGAAACCAAGCUUAAAGAAGUGAAGAGGUACCAGUGCACCUUUGAGGGCUGUCCACGCACCUACAGCACUGCUGGAAACCUGCGCACUCACCAGAAGACACAUCGUGGGGAAUACACUUUUGUCUGCAAUCAAGAAGGCUGUGGCAAGGCCUUUCUUACCUCCUACAGCCUCAAAAUCCACGUUAGAGUGCACACUAAGGAGAAGCCGUUUGAAUGUGAUGUGCAGGGCUGUGAAAAGGCAUUCAAUACACUGUACAGAUUGAAAGCACAUCAGAGGCUUCACACAGGGAAGACAUUUAACUGUGAAUCAGAAGGCUGCAGUAAAUACUUCACAACGCACAGCGACCUGAGGAAGCACAUUCGAACACACACAGGAGAAAAGCCAUUUCGGUGUGAGCAUGACGGCUGUGGAAAGGCUUUUGCUGCAAGCCACCACCUUAAAACGCAUGUUAGGACACAUACUGGGGAGAAACCCUUCUUCUGUCCCAGUAAUGGCUGUGAGAAGACUUUUAGUACACAGUAUAGUCUCAAGAGUCACAUGAAAGGUCAUGAGAAAGGACAUUCCUAUAAUGCACUUCCAAAUAACAACGUGUCUGAGGAUACAAGCCACUCGCUUUGUCUGAGUGACUUAAGCCUCAUAUCAACAGAUUCAGAAUUGAGGGAAAACUCUAAUCCAACACAUGGACAAGACCUUAGCACAAUCUCACCAGCAAGCAUCUUUGAGUCGAUGUUUCAGAGCCCAGAUCACACUGCAAAUCAGGAUGACUCUCAGCAGACAGCUGCCUUGAUUGAUGGUUUCAAUGGCGAUGCAGACUCUGUCACUGCUGCUCCGCCUUCUGCAGGAGACUCGGCGUCAUUGUCUCUUCCACUUGUACUGCAGCUUGGCAUCUCUGAGCCUUCACAUUCAGCACUACAAGCCUCAGCAGCCCCUGCUGCUCCCUCCUCCAUAGGAACCAGCUCACAGCAAGCUGCAUUUGGAAAUCCUGCAACUGUUUUACAAUCCCCAGAAGUGCCUGUUCCUCACAGCACACAGUUUGCAGCCAGUCACCAAGACUUCCUGCAGCAUACUCAGACCCCACCACAGCCCCUCGUGCAAGGACUUUCAGUGGUUGCUGGGGCAUCUGCCCCAACACCAUCAAGUGCCACUGAGCCCCUGCCAGCUGUCGUUCAGACUGUGCCUGUUGGUGCGAACUCUGUUCUGACCAGUAAUCCAACUAUAACAAUUACUCCUUCUCAGAGCACUGCUAUCCUGCAGUCCAGCAUUGUCAUGGGAGAGCAAAACUUACAAUGGAUCUUAAAUGGUGCCACUGGUUCUCCGCAAAGCCAAGAACAAAUGCCACAAGUUCCAAAAGUAGUAGAAAAGGUUUUUUUUACCACUGCAUUACCAGUAGCUGGCAACACAGGAAGCCCUGUUCAGCAGAUUGGUCUCAGUGUUCCUGUCAUUAUUAUAAAGCAGGAGGAGGCCUGCCAGUGUCAGUGUGCCUGCCGAGACUCUGCCAAGGACAAAGCCACUGUUAAGAAGGAAUGUUCCUCACCUGAUUCAAAAGCUUUGGAGCAGCCAGCUCCCCAGCUGCAGCCUCAGACCUUUUCUUCCUCUUCCCCUUCUCCUUCCUGUGGGCAGAGCAGUCAGAUAGUUAACCCUCCAGACUCACAGACUGAAACAUUAAGUGCCAUGGAUGUAUCGGACUUCCUGUCCCUCCAAAGCCCUGAAACCCCAUCUGAUAUAAUUCCAAUUGAAGCACUACUGCAGGGUGAGGAAGAAAUGGGUUUGAAUAACAGCUUCUCUAAGUGAAGAUGUUCCAGAUUUUCCUUUGCACCUGGAGGGUAAAACCCUCUCCUUUAGAAGCAGAAACUGAAGGAUCGAUUCUUUCUUCCUUCCUCUGUGGAAGUUUUGUGGCUUAUUUCUGCUUCACAGAUGUCAUCUUAGUCACGUCCCAGCCUCCCCACAGUGAAGUGGAUCAUUCCCAAGUGCCGAUCGUGUGAACAGCCAAGGGAAGAGUCGAUGCUUGCACAAACCGGUGCUGUUCAAGGAAGAACCUUGGGUGGAUGCACAAGCUACAGACCGAGCCAUCCCGCGUUGCUAGGGUAAGUUCCGUGAGAUAAGGCUCCAAGGAGCUCCAAGGCCACCGCUCCUCGCUAUCGCUCCGGCUCUGCCGGCACCAGGGAAGG